rnacentral:rRNA from 1 species
AUACGGAGGGUGCAAGCGUUACUCGGAAUCACGGGGCGUAAAGCGCGCGCAGGCGGCUAUUUAAGUUGGAUGUGAAAGCCUACGGCUCAACCGUAGAACUGCAUCCAAAACUAUUUAGCUAGAGUGUGGGAGAGGAAGAUGGAAUUAGUUGUGUAGGGGUAAAAUCCGUAGAGAUAACUAGGAAUACCAAAAGCGAAGGCAAUCUUCUGGAACACUACUGACGCUCAGGCGCGAAAGCGUGGGGAGCAAACAGGAUUAGAAACCCUAGUAGUCC